AAUGGACGAAAGUCUGACGCAGCAACGCCGCGUGGGUGAUGAAGGUCUUCGGAUCGUAAGACCCUGUCGUCAGGGACGAAGGGUUGGGGCCUAAUACGCCUUGACCUUGACGGUACCUGGAGAGGAAGCUCCGGCUAACUCUGUGCCAUCAGCCGCGGUAAUACAGAGGGGGCAAGCGUUAUUCGGAAUUAUUGGGCGUAAGGGGNGCGUAGGCGGUUNUUUAAGUCGGAUGUGCAAUCCCCGAGCUCGACUUGGGAACUGCAUCCGAGACUGGAGAGCUAGAGUGCUGGAGAGGGUGGUGGAAUUCCACGUGUAGCGGUGAAAUGCGUAGAGAUGUGGAGGAACACCAGUGGCGAAGGCGGCCACCUGGACAGUAACUGACGCUGAGGCGCGAAAGUGUGGGGAGCAAA
rnacentral:rRNA from 1 species